GAUGAACGCUAGCGGCAGGCCUAAUACAUGCAAGUCGGACGGGAUUCCGGAGCUUGCUUCUGGUGCUCGAGGCGCAAGGGUGCGUAACACGUAUGUAUCAUCCCUUUAUCAGGGGGAUAGCACCUCGAAAGAGUGAUUAAGAUAGCAUAAAAUCACAGCACAGCCUUGUGUAAUGAUCAAAUGUUUCUGGGAUAAGGAUUGGCAUGCGGGACAUUAGCUAGAUGGCGGGGUAACGGUCCUACCUGGCGACGGUGUUUAGGGGAUCGGAGAGGAUGGCCCCCCAGAGGGUGACUGGGAAACGGACGAGAGACCUACGGGAGGCAGCAGUAAGGAAGACUGGUCAAUGGGCGGAAGCCUGAACCAGCCAUGCCGCGUGCAGGAAGACGGCCCGACGGGUUGUGAACUGCGGUUAGACGGGAAUAAUCCCAGAUACGGGUAUCUGGCUGAAGGUACUGGAUGAAGAAGGAUCGGCUAACUCCGUG
rnacentral:rRNA from 1 species